ACAGCCUGCACACAGUGUGGUUAAACUAGAAAUGACAAGGGGGGUCUGCAGUUUUGCUUUGUUCUAUCUUUAAUUAUAUAUGUACAGGCAAGUCUCAGUGAAAGGCAGAAAAAUAAACUGAAAUGGCCUCAUUUCUUAAAUAAUCCAUUUAUUUUUGUCAACUGAAAAAAAAAAUACUACAAUCCUAAGCCAAGCAGCAACCAAAGAAAGCACAAAGGUAAAGGAAAAGGUGAGGCAGGAGAGAGAGAACUAUCAGCUCAGGUUAAUAAACCAGGAGCCCAAUCCUUUGAAAAGUGAAGAAACUGGACUGUUAGCCAAUCUUAGGAGAGGACACCCAAAAGAAAUGAUGGGGGGAUCUGGAGCAGGAGCCCACAUGCCCUACCAAAGCAUAUUUUAUAAGAUAAAGGACACAAGAGGCGCCUACUACUUCACUGUUAUUUUUCACAGCCCUAUAAGUAAUCUACUGAAGGGAGAAGGUAUAAGACAGAGGAAAGAAAAACUGUCCUUUGGAGACGACAUGUUAAACCCAGAAGCUGGAGAACUGUUUCCAAACCUCACUUAACCAAGAGUCAGUGACACAGCUGGACCCUGAGGGAUUACUUCAGAGAAGAUGAUGGACAUCGAAGAAACUCCACAUGGAGUUAACUUUCUUUGUGGCAAGUUAGCCACUGGGCAAGAAAGUGCCCUUGCCUCAACUGCUGACAGUAUGCUGUCCAAAUGGGCAAGGAGACACAAGAAAAAGUGACCCCCGAUCCUUGCCAAGACAAGGUAGUACAGCCCUUCAGAAAACCCCGCUUCACAGAUAAGUCUGUCAGUGUUUGGGAUUAAACCCCGAAACAUCCUAAGGAAGCGCUCUAACACUGAGUUAAAGCCCAGCCUCGACUCAACACUUCUUUCAAUAAUUCAUCAACAAACAAGCCUACACCCCAAAACAUACUCAAUAUUCACUGCAUUAUUUAUAGUGACAAGGUAAGAAGCAAAUUGUGAGUGGCAUACACCACGAUUUACCCUCAACAUUGCCCUUUAAUAGCAGAACUCCUAAGUUUUAGUCAAGGAUGCAGCUAAUUGCCCACCUCUCUUUGAAUAUGGGGACGGCCAUGCAAUAAUGUUCUGGGGAACAAGACGUACUGCCAAAAUC